rnacentral:misc_RNA from 1 species
GGAAGCUGCAACAUUGGCACAAGCUGCAUUUAGGGGUUACUUGGCUCGUCGGGCAUUUCGGGCCCUUAAAGGCAUAAUAAGGCUUCAGGCGCUUAUCCGUGGGCACUUGGUCAGGAGACAAGCUGUUGCCACUUUGUGCUGUGUGCUGGGAAUUGUCAAGCUGCAGGCACUUGCUCGAGGAAUAAAAGUUAGGAAUUCAGAUAGCAGGCAGGAUUUUCUUAAAAAAUGCAAUGUGGUGAUGCCUCUGGAGGGCAAGCUUGGGGAUCUUGAUGGAGCUCAUCUUUCUAUCCAAAGAGCAAGGCUAUCAGCAAAUGCUUUUGUUCACAAGCUUGGGGCUUCAUCACCUACUGUGAUGCCUUUGCGCAUUUAUUAUGACUCUGUGGAGCCAAAUUCAGUUCCAAAUUGGUUAGAACGUUGGUCAGCAUCUCGCUUUUGGAAACCAAUUCCCCAGCCAAAGAAGAUUUCUCACCCAAAAACUCAGAGAAAGCAGAAUAAUGGUCAUAUGCCAGAAGCAGAAACUGGUAGGCCCAAGCGCAGUGUUCGGAGGGUCCCAGCUGCAAAUGUUGACAAUACUUCAGUGCAAGCAACCUCUGAAAUUGAGAAACCCAAGCGCAAUCUUAGGAAAGCUUCAAGCCAUCCAGUUGAUAUGGUGCAGGAAAAUCCGCAAAAUGAGCUUGAAAAGGUAAAACGUAAUUUGAGAAAGGUUCAUAACCCGAUAAUUGAAAGUUCUGUUCAGUCAGAGGCAGAAAUUGAGAAACCAAAACAAAGCUUGGAAAAGGCAUCAGGCAAUUCUGGUGAUAAUCUUUUGGGACAGAAUAUGAAUAAUUCAGGGGAGAAGAUUAGGAAAGAAACGACCUCGGCAACACCCAAACUGCCUGUUGUGGUGAAGAAUGAAUCAACCUUGGUAGCAACCAAAUUGCCUGAUGUCGGAACAACUCCAGAACCACUAGGAAUAAAUGAAGCACCAGAAUUUCUUAGUGAUCAAACUUUGGAUGAAUCAAAGCCUUCAGUAGAGAAUGGUGGUAAAGAUGAGAAUACUCCUGUUACAAAUGGGGAGUUAAGCCAUAAGGAACACAAGGAACAUCCAACAAUCAAUGAA